rnacentral:lncRNA from 1 species
GCAUAAUCUAUCAUCUGAAGCAAUGGUAAGAAAUUAAUAUAUUCUGUGGAUCACGAAUCUCUGGAAUUCACAUAUUCCAUAACAUUGUUUACUCAAAUAAAUUAAAAAAAAAUAAAAAAAAAAUGCCUGAGUAGUAAUCUGUAAUGGAACCCUUUGAACUGAACUACGGCUCGCAAGCUGUAAAAUGGACCUGCAAAAUUGAUUAUUCAUAAAAUUGAAGGGAAAAAAACCCUCGAAGGAAUAACUUAGUUAAACGAACAUUUGCCAUAGGCUAUACAUGUACGCGUUUAUGAAUCGUGGGCUUACCUACGAAACAUUUUGGAUUGGGAUUUUGGGAAUUGUGUAGAGAGUUGGAUGGGGCAAGUUGAAUCCUUAAGUAGUUUUUAAGCAACGUUUCUAGACAAGGGGGAUCAGAAAUGGAAAUGGAAAGGUGCAGGCCGCAGUACAACAGGUAGACGCGAAAGGGCCAUGGGGUAUUUUGGUUUUGGGUUUUGAGUAAGGGGGCGG